GUAUAAAUACUUUAAAAAAAAGAUUAAAUUUGCAAUUUAAAAUUGGUGCAUACCUUUAUACU
rnacentral:tRNA from 1 species